AUAGGUGAUGAAUCUAGCAGGAUCUGAGCCGUGGCGAUGAUGACGGCUGUACUCUCUGAUU
rnacentral:snoRNA from 2 species